rnacentral:tRNA from 1 species
UAGAAAGUGGUGUAGUGGGAGCACCAAGAGUUUUGAUCUCUUCGGGGUGGGUUCGAAUCCCAUUUUUCUAA